rnacentral:rRNA from 1 species
CAGUAGCCACGGUAAUACGAAGGGUGCAAGCGUUAAUCGGAAUUACUGGGCGUAAAGGGUGCGUAGGCGAUUGUUUAAGUCUGUUGUGAAAUCCCCGGGCUCAACCUGGGAACUGCAUUUGAAACUGGCAAGCUAGAGUCUUGUAGAGGGGGGUAGAAUUCCAGGUGUAGCGGUGAAAUGCGUAGAGAUCUGGAGGAAUACCGAUGGCGAAGGCAGCCCCCUGGGAUAACACUGACGCUCGUGCACGAAAGCGUGGGGAGCAAACAGGAUUAGAUACCCGCGUAGUCCCUGUCUCUUAUAC